GAAGCACUGAGAGGAAGGUAUUUUUUUGAACAGAGUGGCAGGGCCAAAAUUUAAAGGGAAAGGUUAGCGAAGAGUGGCCACCUGGUCCUGGAGAGUUAGAGUUCCGCGCGCUCUCCGGAGCCGUUGUGAGAGGAUUUCCGAUCCCAUCCCAUAACGGAGUCCCGAAGCCAACUCACCCACACCCAAAAGAAAAGAGAGCCGCCAGCAGCCCGAAUCAGGCCAUGCCCUUGAACCUAGUUCAAGGGCGAUAGAAGAGAGAGCGAUGGGGAUCGGCAGCCGGGAGCAUUAAACAGAACAGCCAAGAGGGGGUUCAGAAAAAAAAGUUCCCGCAACGGAGGAGCAAGCGCGCCGGACAUAGCGACUUAGCGAUUUUUUUUUGUUCUGAAAGAAAAAGGGAUCCAGAUCAGGGAAAGACCAGGAGCCAGGACCAGGAAGCAUAAGAGGAAUAGGUCACAGCUCCGCCACCCUGGCUUGUCUUUCCUGCUGGUCUCGAAGGAGCAGAUUUGGCCACGUAGUGCGGGACCCUCGCCCACUUAGGGAGAAGAAAAAAAAAAGCACAUCAACUUAUUUACUCCCAUUAAUUAUUGUUGUUAGACGUCUCCAGUUAUAAGUAUAUGUAAUUUAAGUCCGUCCAUAUUUAUUAUAUAUAUGUAACCUAUUUAUUUAUAUUUAUUAUAUUAUUUAUUCCUAUUAAUCUAAUUAUUUAUUAACCGCCAGUAGUACUAAGAUGAGGGGGGGAUGAAUAGGCAGGCCUAGUUUAGAAAUGAUAUCGUGUGAAAAUAGGAAAUGAAGUGAAAAUUAUAACGAAGAAAUGAA
rnacentral:sRNA from 1 species